rnacentral:rRNA from 1 species
UACAGAGGUCCCAAGCGUUGUUCGGAUUCAUUGGGCGUAAAGGGUGCGUAGGCGGCGCGGUAAGUCGGGUGUGAAAUUUCGGGGCUCAACCCCGAACGGUCGUGGGAAACUGGUCGGCUAGAGUGCGGGAGAGGAGAGUGGAAUUCCUGGUGUAGCGGUGAAAUGCGCAGAUAUCAGGAAGAACACCCGUGGCGAAGGCGGCUCUCUGGAACGCAACUGACGCUGAGACGCGAAAGCGUGGGGAGCAAACAGG